UACGUAGGUGGCGAGCGUUGUCCGGAUUUACUGGGCGUAAAGGGAGCGUAGGCGGGCUUUUAAGUGAGAUGUGAAAUACUCGGGCUCAACUUGAGUGCUGCAUUUCAAACUGGAAGUCUAGAGUGCAGGAGAGGAGAAUGGAAUUCCUAGUGUAGCGGUGAAAUGCGUAGAGAUUAGGAAGAACACCAGUGGCGAGGGCGAUUCUCUGGACUGUAACUGACGCUGAGGCUCGAAAGCGUGGGGAGCAAACAGG
rnacentral:rRNA from 1 species